rnacentral:ncRNA from 12 species
GAGGGAUGUCGCCGGAGAACGCAAGGGUGUUGUACCAGCAUGGACAAUUAGUCCAUGUGGCAGUUGCGCCGGGAAUUCCUCAUUUU